rnacentral:rRNA from 1 species
AUUGAACGCUGGCGGCAGGCCUAACACAUGCAAGUCGAACGAGUGGCGGACGGGUGAGUAAUGUCUGGGAAACUGCCUGAUGGAGGGGGAUCACUACUGGAAACGGUAGCUAAUACCGCAUACCAUCAGAUGUGCCCAGUUGGGAUUAGCUUGUUGGUGGGGGAAUGGCUCACCAAGGCGACGAUCCUUAGCUGGUCUGAGAGGAUGACCAGCCAAACUGGAACUGAGACACGGGCAAGACUCCUACGGGCGUCAGCAGUGGGGAAUAUUGCACAAGGGGCGCAAGCCUGAUGCAGCCAUGCCGCGUGUAUGAAGAAGGCCUUCGGGUUGUAAAGUACUUUCAGCGGGGAGGCGUUACUCGCAGAAGAAGCACCGGCUAACUCCGUGCCAGCCGCCGCGGUAAUUC